rnacentral:rRNA from 1 species
AUUGAACGCUGGCGGCAGGCCUAACACAUGCAAGUCGAGCGAGCGGCGGACGGGUGAGUAAUGUCUGGGAAACUGUCUGAUGGAGGGGGAUAAAUACUGGACACGGUAGCUAAUACCGCAUACCCUCAGAUGCGCCCAGAUGGGAUGAGCUAGUAGGGGGGGUAAUGGCUCACCUAGGCGACGAUCCCUAGCGGGUCUGAGAGGAUGACCAGCAACACUGGAACUGAGACACGGUCCAGACUCCUACGGGAGGCAGCAGUGGGGAAUAUUGCACAAUGGGCGCAAGCCUGAUGCAGCCAUGCCGCGUGUGUGAAGAAGGCCUUCGGGUUGUAAAGCACUUUCAGCGAGGAGGCGUUACUCGCAGAAGAAGCACCGGCUAACUCCGUGCCAGCCGCCGCGGUAAUUC